GCCCGGCUGACUCAAUUGGUAGAGCAUGCGACUCUUGAUCGUAGGGUGAGUUCGAGCCUCACGUUGGGGG
rnacentral:tRNA from 1 species